UUGUUUCUACACGUCCGAUUAUCUCAACAAAGUUCUUGGCCAUCUUCUGGGCUGUAUGCCCCCACCAACGCUCUUCCUUUUAAGAUAACAAAAACAGCACACCAAUGGCUUCCUCGAUUCCUUCUCAGACCACUCCAAACUCCAUUAUCACUACCAAUUUCACAUCGCGAAUCAUCCCAUUUCACUCUCCCGCGGUCAAAUCCUUCCGACCCACGCUCUUCUGCCCUAAUUCUCUCUCCAAUUCCAGCAACCGGAAGCCGGCUCGCCGCUACGACGGCCAAACCACGACGAACACUCUCUCCAAAUCUCAGAACCGGACGAGCGAUUCAGUUCUUAGUCUUCCGUCGACGGUGGAUUUAGUGGCUCUAUGCGAGGCGGGUGAGGUAAUGGACGUUCUGGAAUUUAUUGGCCAAGGUGCUAAUCUUGAUUAUGGUAUUUGUACAGCUUUGUUGAAUUCUUGUUGCAAUUUUAAGUUGCUUGAGGCUGGGAGAAGGGUGGAUAGGCUGUUGAAAGGGACGAAAUUUAGUGGGGAUGUGGGAUUGAACAAUAACUUGAUUGAAAUGUACUCUUGUUGUGGCUGUAUGAAAGAUGCGCGUAGGGUGUUUGAUAAAAUGCCUGACAGGGAUAUUAGGACGUGGAAUUUGAUGAUCAAGGGGUAUGGAGAGAAUGGGGAAGGAGAUGGUGGGUUGGCCUUGUUUGAGCGAAUGAAGAGUGUGGGAUUGCAGCCAAAUUCUGAAACAUUUCUAGUGGUGUUAGCAGCUUGUGCCAUGGCUGAAGCUGUGGAGGAAGGUUUAUUUUACUUUAACUCGAUGGAAAAUGAAUAUGGAAUCAUUCCUGAAAUCGAACAUUAUUUGGGAGUUGUUGAUGUUCUUGGGAAAUCUGGCCAUUUGAUUGAAGCAGAAGAGUUCAUUAAGAAAAUUCCCAUCAACCCCACAGCCAAAAUCUGGGAUGCCCUUAGAAUCUACGCUCGACUCCAUGGAAACAUCGAGCUUGAAGAUCGAGCCGAAGAGCUGAUAUUCUCUUAUGACCCGUCCAUGGCGCCCACGGCUGCCAAGCCACCGCUCCUUCCCCCAAGGAAGCAAUCGGCCACCAACAUGUUGGAGGAGAAGGACAGAGUGAGGGAGUUCAGAUGUGCAAUGCCUUACAAAGAAGAGGGGGAAGGGGGGAAGCUAAAAGGAUUGAAUGGACAAAUGAGAGAAGCAGGGUAUGUGCCAGAUACAAGAUAUGUGCUUCAUGACAUUGAUGAGGAGGCUAAACAGCAAGCUUUGCAAUACCAUAGCGAGCGGUUAGCCAUUGCUUACGGAUUGAUCAGUACGCCUGCGAGAACGACGCUGAGAAUCAUCAAGAAUCUUCGGAUCUGCGGCGAUUGUCACAAUGCAAUCAAGAUCAUGUCAAAGAUUGUUGGAAGAGAGUUGAUUGUUAGAGAUAAUAAGCGGUUUCAUCACUUCAAAGACGGCAAGUGCUCUUGUGGGGAUUAUUGAAAGCGAAGCCAUUCCGUCGAGAAGGUCGAGAGUAGAUUGAAAGAUGAAUAUUCAUGAAGCAGGCCCAGGGUUGGGUGGAAGAAGUCCUCGCUCCGUAGUCCG